rnacentral:lncRNA from 1 species
GACAGUGUGUAAAAUAUAAUUUUAAUACUGCAAAAUGUAUGUAUUUAAAUAGAGUAAAGACAAGUGUAUAGUAAGUCCUGACCUAAAGACAUUGCUGUCAGGUGUGGGUAAAAUCACUUGGGAAGAAUAUGAUGUGGCUGUCCAUGGUUCUGAUUUCUGUGUGCGUGUGUGUGCGCAUGUUCGUGCAAGUGCAAACAUGCUGACUGACCCUCCUUGCAGAGAAACUCCAAAUCAUCCUCCUCUCAUGUUGACGAAACGAUCACUCUGUCAUACAGUACAAGCUUUCAUUUUUUGUUGUCCUAGGCUACCUGGCAAAAAUGCUUGCUUGCUGGCUUAACUUGCUGGCUUAACUACAUAUUGAACUUCCAUCCUCUCAGGGGCAAAACAAUGUAUGUAUUAAUGGUUGGAUCAGAAUCACCAUAGAGAUCCUAUUCAAUUACUAGUGGGGCUGUGUCAUAAACCCUCAACGUUCCAGAAUGUAUUGUAAAAAAAACAAAAUAAGAAACAUUCCCCUUGUGUAUUGUUUAUAUCGUAGAUGGUUUAGACUGUUUGUACUCAGAGUAUAUAACUUUAUAGGGGAUCACUUUGGGAUAGAUUCUCUAGAUGUGCUUUUACUGCGACACCAUUUAUUGUGAUCCAAAUCUACAACAAAAUCGUCAUGAUAAUCUUUGAUGUAAAUCUAGAGCAGACCAGACAGAACUGGUGGUGCAUUAGGAGGAGAAGUGUUGAUUUACAGAGGCCACUACGACCUGAGAAGAGUUUCAACUAGAUUACACAGCCACAAAGUCAACGGACUAUAUCCUUAUAAUCUAUGAAAACAAAAAUGUGUUUUUUUUUAAUUUAAGGUUAGAGUUAGGUUUAUAAGCAGAUUUUAAUUAGAUCACUUGUAGAUAUAGGUGGGGUUUAUGACUUUGUGGCUUUGAUAACCAGUGAAGACCCCUGAGAAGAGGAAGACAAGUGAAGACAGCAGCUCAUUGGUGACUAAUAAUUACUUCUGCUUGACAUUUACAUUCUUUGAGUACUUGAAGUUGAUUUAUGAUAACAAUAGAUGUUUGUUUUUCCCACACAUUAGAUCAAUGUGGAUCAGAGUGUCCCAACUGCAUCGUCUCCACCAUAACACUCGCACGGGUCAUCCUCUUCAGCCUACAGGAAACCAGAUCAGAGAUAUCAUCAUCAUCAACAACAACACCUCUAUUGUUAUCUUAAUCCUUCAUAUUUCGAGCAAAGUUCUUCUCAGAUCUCUACAGUAGCUGUAAACAUAUGCAGUAGGCCGACAGUCAAGGUGUGAAUUACGGGCCAGGGGAGGCUCAGCUCCCCUGAAUGAGACAUUAGUUGCCCUAAAUGCAACAAAGUCAAACUUUGAGGGGGUCUCUAAUAAAUGCUAAUUUAACCAUUCUCCUAUUUGUUUGAAAUGUAGUGAUAAGUAUGUUUUACGGUGGUAAAUAUGGAAAUAAAAGCGUCCAAAUGAAACGAACACCCCCACCUCUCUGUCAUGGUUUAAACCAUUUAUUACUAUGUGGCAGCACUGUCCACCCAGUAGUGCUGAAUUUUGGCCUAAGCUGAGCUCCUUUGCGCAUAGAUUUUCCUUUGUAUUUCCUAAUUUUCACAAUUUCUUUGUCAUAUGUCCUUGAUAAAAAAAUAGCCUGUAUUCCAAUGCAUUAGGUUAAUCCGUUGAUUUAUCAUUGUUUGCUUUUGUCAGUCAGCUGUUUAGAGCACUCAUUGCUUUGUUUUUCAGGUGCGCACUAGUUUAUUAUUAUAAUUUUUUUGCAUAUAUGUUUUUAUAUAUAUAUAUAUCAUUUUUUUAAUUAAACCGUAACAUGCAAA